AGUGAACGCUGGCGGUAGGCCUAACACAUGCAAGUCGAACGGCAGCACAGUAAGAGCUUGCUCUUACGGUUGGCGAGUGGCGGACGGGUGAGGAAUACAUCGGCAUCUACUUUUUCGUGGGGGAUAACGUAGGGAAACUUACGCUAAUACCGCAUACGACCUACGGGUGAAAGCAGGGGAUCUUCGGACCUUGCGCGAUUGAAUGAGCCGAUGUCGGAUUAGCUAGUUGGCGGGGUAAAGGCCCACCAAGGCGACGAUCCGUAGCUGGUCUGAGAGGAUGAUCAGCCACACUGGAACUGAGACACGGUCCAGACUCCUACGGGAGGCAGCAGUGGGGAAUAUUGGACAAUGGGCGCAAGCCUGAUCCAGCCAUACCGCGUGGGUGAAGAAGGCCUUCGGGUUGUAAAGCCCUUUUGUUGGGAAAGAAAAGCAGCAGGUUAAUACCCCGCUGUUCUGACGGUACCCAAAGAAUAAGCACCGGCUAACUUCGUG
rnacentral:rRNA from 1 species